UCCAUCCUAACAUUCUCCUUUCAUGUUUUUGAUAGAGGCAGUUCCCACAUCCCAGUUACCGUAUAUGACGGCAGUUUCCAGCUUUUAUCUCAGAAAGAUACCAACAAGAGAAAAGCAACAGAAAUGUGAUCCUUUCUAACAGCCCUGAAACUCUGAACAGAAAAAGAGUAACCAGAAAGAUUCUUAUACAUGAUUAUGUUUAUUUUCUUCUGUCCUAUAUACAGGAGAGUCAACUCAUAUAAUGAGCAGCUUUUAGAAGGAGUGAGGUGGAUUUGGAGGUGACACCAGUAUGUCAUAUACUAGCAUAUAAAGCAAGUUACAAGACAAUAUGUUUGGUGUGCUUUUUCAGGACAUUUCGCUUUAAAAUAUCAUUUCUUGGAGACACUGAUUCUGGGAAGAACAAAGCCUGACUGAGCAAAGAGUAUGGCUUUAACUCCUUCAGAAAACCUGUAUUAUUUCUUUCCUCCUAAUCCCAGGGAAUGUGUGGGAGGUGAAUACUUGCAAAUAUGCUGGAUAUGCUGGACACCCAUAAGUAAUUUGGCUUGCCUAUAUGGAAUUUUCAAAGUGAUUCGUACUUUUUUUUUUUUUUUUUUUUUGAUAGCUAUCUAUUGAGCUCAUGAUUGAUUUGCGCAUAGUUUAAGAUUCAGACAAGGACCUAUUUUCUUCUCUAAUGCUUCCAGAGUCUUAGAAAAACUAUACUAGAGCAGAUUUGGCAGAUUUUGUCCUCUUCUUUCAUCUGAUCUACAUGAAAAAUACAAGCAGCAGGAUUAAAAAGUUUUAGAUACCUAAGCCAACUUCUCUGCUCUCUGCUGGGCCUCCUGACACUUUGGAAAGGGAGGAUAAAUUUGAUAAAUGGUUUUCAAUACAUAUUUCCCUUCCUUUCUUUCUCUCCAGAGCUGUCAACCAAGGAGCCUCAAGUUAUUUGGACCACCUUCAAAGGGCUGUGUAUUGAAAAUGGCUUCCUAGUUUCUGUAGUCAAUUAUUCUAACAUCAAGAAAUCUCUCUCUAAAGAGAGUAAUGAAGACAAGCACAGGCUGUGAAAAGUGUUCUGGACCUUACCAUGCAUACAGUCAGUGCUUCAAAAGGCCUUUGUGGGGGGAAAUGAAGGUUUAUUCAUAGUGUUCAACUGUGUUGUAGCAGGGGGAGAAUGAUAUUUUUCACUUCCAGUAAAAACUGCUUUGUAUAUAUAAAAAUACAGACUGAUUUUCUGUAUGUUAGUCAAGUCA